CUACGGGUUGCUGCAGUGGGGAAUAUUGCACAAUGGGCGCAAGCCUGAUGCAGCCAUGCCGCGUGUAUGAAGAAGGCCUUCGGGUUGUAAAGUACUUUCAGCGGGGAGGAAGGGAGUAAAGUUAAUACCUUUGCUCAUUGACGUUACCCGCAGAAGAAGCACCGGCUAACUCCGUGCCAGCAGCCGCGGUAAUACGGAGUGUGCAAGCGUUAAUCGGAAUUACUGGGCGUAAAGCGCACGCAGGCGGUUUGUUAAGUCAGAUGUGAAAUCCCCGGGCUCAACCUGGGAACUGCAUCUGAUACUGGCAAGCUUGAGUCUCGUAGAAGGGGGUAGAAUUCCAGGUGUAGCGGUGAAAUGCGUAGAGAUCUGGAGGAAUACCGGUGGCGAAGGCGGCCCCCUGGACGAAGACUGACGCUCAGGUGCGAAAGCGUGGGGAGCAAACAGGAUUAGAUACCCGAGUAGUC
rnacentral:rRNA from 1 species